rnacentral:tRNA from 1 species
GGCUUUAUAGUAGAAAUUACGUCAGAUUGCAAACCUGAAAAUGCAUAAAUUGCUAAAGCUU